rnacentral:rRNA from 1 species
GGGUCAGUAGGUUGGUCGUGCCACCGGUACGUACUGGUCUCACUGAUUCCUCCUUCCUGAAGAACCGUAAUGCCAUUAAUUUGGUGUUGCGGGGAAACAGGACUGUUACUUUGAAAAAAUUAGAGUGUUUAAAGCAAGCUAGCGCUUGAAUACAUUAGCAUGGAAUAAUGAAAUAGGACGAUCGAUCCUAUUUUGUUGUUUUCUAGGAUUGACGUA